rnacentral:rRNA from 1 species
CCUACGGGGGGCAGCAAUGGGGGAUAUUGCACAAUGGGGGAAACCCUGAUGCAGCGACGCCGCGUGAGUGAAGAAGUAUUUCGGUAUGUAAAGCUCUGUCAGCGGGGAAGAAAAUGACGGUACCUGACUAAGAAGCCCCGGCUAACUACGUGCCAGCAGCCGCGGUAAUACGUAGGGGGCAAGCGUUAUCCGGAUUUACUGGGUGUAAAGGGAGCGUAGACGGCCCGACAAGUCAGAAGUGAAAGCCCAGGGCUCAACCCUGGGGCUGCUUUUGAAACUGCCGGGCUGGAGUGAAGGAGAGGCAAGCGGAAUUCCUAGUGUAGCGGUGAAAUGCGUAGAUAUUAGGAGGAACACCAGUGGCGAAGGCGGCCUACUGGACUGUAACUGACGUUGAGGCUCGAAAGCGUGGGGAGCAAACAGGAUUAGAUACCCGGGUAGUC